GGGCACUUAGCUCAGGAGUAGAGCAUUGCAUUGACAUUGCAAGGGUCGGGGGUGCAAAGCCUCCAGUGCCCA
rfam:Candidatus Amesbacteria bacterium RIFCSPLOWO2_01_FTLL_48_25 rifcsplowo2_01_scaffold_404, whole genome shotgun sequence.